AACUCUCUUCUUAAUCUGCAGGACCAGACAUGAGCAGAUAUUACUGGAUCUUGGACAAGUGGGUCUCUAAGGAACAUCAAAGACCCUGAGAAGCCAAAAGUUAUGAAAUGCAUCAGCAGUGGGUUGAAGACAAGACCUCUCCUUUUCCUGCUGACAUUUCUUCCAUGAGCAGUACCCAGACAGCCGACAGAAAGAGCCCAGGAGUAACCUGCCUCAAGCACACAAAUAUUUGUGUGUCUGGCCUCAAGCAAUUAACGUGUCUCCUAACAUGAG
rnacentral:lncRNA from 1 species